GACGAACGCUGGCGGCGUGCCUAAUACAUGCAAGUCGAGCGGAGUAAAAAGCGUGCUUGCACGGUUUUUAUUUAGCGGCGAACGGGUGAGUAACACGUAGGUAACCUGGCCAUAAGACAGGGAUAACGCACGGAAACGUGAGCUAAAACCAGAUAGGCAUUUUCCACGCAUGAGGGAGAUGAGAAAAGGCGGAGCAAUCUGCCGCUCAUGGAUGGACCUGCGUCGCAUUAGCUAGUUGGAGUGGUAAAAGGCACACCAAGGCGACGAUGCGUAGCCGACCUGAGAGGGUGAGCGGCCACACUGGGACUGAGACACGGCCCAGACUCCUACGGGAGCAGCAGUAGGGAAUCUUCCGCAAUGGACGAAAGUCUGACGGAGCAACGCCGCGUGAGUGAAGAAGGUUUUCGGA
rnacentral:rRNA from 1 species